AGCUCCGGUGGCCUAGUGGUUAGAGCAUCCGCCUCGGAUACGGGAGGUCGUGGAUUUGAUCCCUGAUCGAGUCA